GCAUCUGGCAGACGGAGGCUGGAGGUUGAAAAGGGACUCCAUUCAUUGUACCGGGGUGGGCGCUACUAUUUCAGCGGCGCGAUUGUGAACCAGCCAAGCCAAAUAUAGUCGUCGACAGAUCACUCGGAGUGGGUUUCAUUCAAGUUUUACAGCUGCGUUGGAGUGAACUUGACUGAGAAGAACGGCAGCGGAAUGGUGGAAACUCCUUGGGAAUGGGUUCCAUGGAAUGUCUGGGCAAGAUUCCUUCCGUCUUUUCCCCAGUGGAGUUGACUCUUCUUGUCCCAUAAGAUCGUCAUUGUGCACAGAAAUAAAGUGACGUCGCCCUUUUAUGUUGCUGACGGAAUCUCCCGCUUGGCAGGAAAAUACCUGUCAUGGGUCACAAGGGCCACCGGACAUGUGUGACGUUGCGUGCACGUCUUACUCCAGCGAUUUUACUAUACACACGGUAAGCCGGGGAAGCCCUCACACACACACACACACAGCGGCACUCACUAAUCCAAUUAGGACAUUGGUUUGUGGCCCGGGCCUCAUUGGACACAUGCUGAUCCAAUUAUUAGUGGAUGGGUUGGCCAGGCAAUCCCAGUGUUUCCCUUUGCU